rnacentral:rRNA from 1 species
AGUAGCCGCGGGAAUACGUAGGGUGCGAGCGUUAAUCGGAAUUACUGGGCGUAAAGCGUGCGCAGGCGGUUUUGUAAGACAGGCGUGAAAUCCCCGGGCUCAACCUGGGAAUGGCGCUUGUGACUGCAAAGCUAGAGUGCGGCAGAGGGGGAUGGAAUUCCGCGUGUAGCAGUGAAAUGCGUAGAUAUGCGGAGGAACACCGAUGGCGAAGGCAAUCCCCUGGGCCUGCACUGACGCUCAUGCACGAAAGCGUGGGGAGCAAACAGGAUUAGAUACCCGUGUAGUCCCUGUCUCUUAUACA